rnacentral:rRNA from 1 species
UACGUAGGGGGCUAGCGUUGUCCGGAUUUAUUGGGCGUAAAGAGCUCGUAGGCGGCUUUGCAAGUCCCAUGUGAAAGCCCACGGCUUAACCGUGGAAGUGCAUGGGAAACUGCAGAGCUUGAGUACUUAAGAGGAUCGCGGAAUUCCCGGUGUAGAGGUGAAAUUCGUAGAUAUCGGGAGGAACACCGGUGGCGAAGGCGGCGACCUGGGUCGAGACUGACGCUGAGGCGCGAAAGCGUGGGGAGCAAACAGG